rnacentral:tRNA from 1 species
GAGAGCUGGUGAACACAUAGCACAAAUGAAUUUGGAUCAUUAGGAGGAACCGAGAAUUCCGCUUUCAAA